UUGUGUUAAUUCACUCUGCCUAAGACUCAGGUGGCGCAAGCCUUAAUAUCCUGCCGAGGUGGUAUCGGGAACCAUUAGAUACCUCUAUGUCUUGGUGGACAUGGAGUUUUUUUAUUGCAAAA
rfam:Lactobacillus manihotivorans DSM 13343 = JCM 12514 strain DSM 13343 NODE_594, whole genome shotgun sequence.